GACGAACGCUGGCGGCGUGCUUAACACAUGCAAGUCGAACGGAAAGGCCCUGCUUUUGUGGGGUGCUCGAGUGGCGAACGGGUGAGUAACACGUGAGUAACCUGCCCUUGACUUUGGGAUAACUUCAGGAAACUGGGGCUAAUACCGGAUAGGAGCUCCUGCUGCAUGGUGGGGGUUGGAAAGUUUCGGCGGUUGGGGAUGGACUCGCGGCUUAUCAGCUUGUUGGUGGGGUAGUGGCUUACCAAGGCUUUGACGGGUAGCCGGCCUGAGAGGGUGACCGGCCACAUUGGGACUGAGAUACGGCCCAGACUCCUACGGGAGGCAGCAGUGGAGAAUAUUGCACAAUGGGCGGAAGCCUGAUGCAGCAACGCCGCGUGCGGGAUGACGGCCGUCGGGUUGUAAACCGCUUUCGCCUGUGACGAAGCGUGAGUGACGGUAAUGGGUAAAGAAGCACCGGCUAACUACGUG
rnacentral:rRNA from 1 species